CGGCGGGGACAGGGCUGCGCUUCCCCGGAGCUGCAGCUGCCGCUGCCCGGGCGCAGCGAGCCCGGGGUCGGGGCGCUCAGCGAAGGGGAGCGGGAGUGCAGCCCGGCCCCUCGCCCCUCACCUUGUCCCGCAGCUUUAUCUCACCAAAGAGGAUGCAAAUUAUGCCAUUCACAUUGCCAAGAUCAUGAUAGAGCCUUCUAAAGAGACCCUCUGAUAUUUUAUGAGCCAGGAGUCACAGAUGAAUUGCCAAAGAACCAGAGAGACCAGACAACACUGGAAACAGAGGAGGGAAUGAGAACAAGUUAUAUCAAGAUAAGACAUGAGGAGACAACACAGAGGCAAUACUAAGUAGCACUCUUAUGGCUUUUGCAAGUCAUCAGUGGAUGCAUCUAAAUUUUCUCCUCUUGAGGGGCUGCAUUGCCCUUUUUACAGAAACUUCCAUAAGAAAUGGCUCUCUUUCAAAAUGGCCUCUCAGUGGGACCAAGACCAUGGACUAAAGUCAAUUAAGAAGCCUUCAAUCAAAAUGGUCAUCGCCUCCAAUUAUUCCUAAGGAGAGUCAUGGUGGCUCCCUCUGUGCUCAAGACAAAGAGGAAGUAAAUGGUGACAGUAACUCUUCAUGAAGCCAGUAUACACACUCCCCCAGAGAAAGAUGGGCAAUAGAUGCCACACUCAAAAUGACUACCUGAGAUAAGGAGAAGAAAUAAAAUGAACAUUUCUUUAAUAAGAAGAAACCAUAAACACGAUAAUGCCUUAAUUGUAAUUAUAUGAUUUUGACUGUGUCAGUAAAAGGCAGAAGUAUGGCUGUUCAGAUGCCCUACCUGUGCUUUUCCUAACUUAAUAUGUAUGGCUAGAGGUACUUAGCUGUGUUAGCCUGAGGUUAAGCAAAAGGUCAGGCAGGGUGGCACCUUAUAGAUUAAUUUGUUCAGAGAGGCAUGAUCUUUCAUAGUACAUUCAUAGCAUCUGGCAAAGUAGUCUGUAGCUAAUGCCCCCCAAGGAGUUAGUCCGUAAGGUGCCACCCUGCCUUACCCUCUUAAUACAUUUUGACAUCUUUUAAGUCCACUCGUAACUCUAAAUUCCCUGGAUUUGUAAUACUUGAUUUAAAGAUAUUUAUAAUAUUUUCCUAGGUAUAGAUUUUGUGAUAGUAUCUCUCUAACUGUGCCCCAGCUUUCCUAAAGGUAUCACUUCACUCACCGCUGUUUCUUCAGGGCCUCAUCCAAACCCACUGAGGGUCAAUUAAAAAGAAAACCCACUUCAAAUCAAGCAUGAAUAAUAUCACUUCCUUUUAUAUCACAGUCUGCCUAUUACAGCAACUUUCAUCAGCAAUAGCUGAGUUCCAUAUAUAAUUAUGUUGAGAGAAACUUAAACUUAAGCUUUUCAUAUUGAUUAUCCUGAACCAUUGGUGGCAUAAGCAUUGCCUGGCACAGGAACGCUGAUACAUGUGAUGCUGGAGCCUGCUGGAGCAUGGUAAUUACACCGCAACAGCAGGCUCGAUUAAUCAAGUCUGCUCUGAUGUGCUGCAAUUACCACGCAUCAGAGCAGCCUUGAUGUACGUGUAUAGGCACCCUUUAUUUUUAGUAAUUUUUUUUUUCCCAGUGGUUCUCAGGGAAUGUGAAGUUUUUGUGGUGACCUUUUUUCAUGAUUUUCAUGAAAAUUGUGAAUUGAGUAGAUCCCUACUUAUGUUCCAUUGCAAUCUCAAAGGUCUGCUGAGAGCAACCUUCUGCAAAUACCAUCAGUUUGCCAAGUUCAUUUGGUAAAAACAUGUGGGAGGUUGUUCUUGCGAGUCACAUCUCAGCUCUACAAGUCUCCUUUGAGCCCAUUAGAGUUUGAGUGAAGACAUUUUCAGGAACUGUUGUAAGACCUCUUUAUGUGGGCAGACCUAAGUUUUGGAGCACAGUUUGUAGAGUUUGUUGCUUUCCACAUGCUAUUCUAUUUUAAUAGGUAAUCUGUUUUUAUCAUUUAUAUUGUUUUCUAUUGUCAGUUCCACUGGGCCUUUUCUGAGGAAGGCAGGAUAGAAAUCUAAUAAAUAAAUAACCGUAUUCCCACAGACAUAGUGAACGCUAUGGGAAGUUUAGAAUGACACACAUUAGCCAAAGUUACAUUUACCUGAUUUUCCAAAGUUACAUUUACCAGAUUUGAUCCUUUGGCCCAGAUGUGGUGUAAAAGCCAGAAGGAAUACUCUCUGCUCCUUAAAGUCAGUAUAUCAUCACUGACUGCCGUGUAACUAGAACAACUGAGGAUUUGGCCUAAAGACUGGAUGUUAAGUACUAUCCCUCAUCCUAUUUACAAUAUGUAUGUGAGAGAGAUUGAGAUGGGAAGGGCUAUGGAAAUAAAUUUUCAAAAUGUAAUAUUCCAAAUUAAUAUUAUAAAAGCUAAGCAGUACCAGCUACUGUUUUUAGCAAUGGUUCAUAAUCCUUGGGAAUCAAACGUGAAGGCACUGAAAUGAACACGGAAGAAGAGUAAAAUACAUAAUAGUUGUUGCAGAAGGGGUUAGGACUCAGUCCAGUUGGUGUAAACCCUUUGUUCCCAUAAAGAAACAAACAAACCCCAAGUCUGUGCCCCACAGCUUCAUGGUGGAAUUACGCAUAGGUACAUUUUCACAGCAGGUUUCCUUUCUGGCCCCUGAUGCAAAGACAAUGGACAUCAGUGUAAAGAUCCCUAUUGAUUUCAAUAAGCCUUAUACCAGUUCCCACUGAUCAUUCCAGUUAAACCUACCUAUGAAGUAAUUCUUGGUUUUGCAAGUUACAUACAACGAUGGCUGUAAGUAGUAUAGGGUAUAAACACUACCCUUCUGUAUGACUGACUCACUUAUCCCAUUGUGUUCCACAUUAUUAUGGACUUCUUUUCAAAGAAGGCCUGUAAGCUUGCUUGACAACACUUACACAACCAAAAUCACAGUGUUGCAUCAGCUGGUGACUUGUUUUUCAGUUGCACCCCAUUUUUUGAGCAAAAUUAUAGAGGCAGGGUUGCAGGCACUGUAAAAUAUGAUCCUAUAUGCAUCUCUCAAGUUUUUCUCUGUUCUACCUCAGACUGAAACCCAGCUUGACCUGGGCUUAUAGUCUAAUAACCCACUGACCUAGUGUGCUCCUCUUGGUCUGACUGUCUAUGACCUAGUUGACCCCGGUAGGCUGUGGCUGUUCCCAAUCCUACUUGUCCUUCCCUUCCCCUACAAGUGUAUUGUACAUAUUAAAAAAAUUACAACAGAAAAAGUCAGAGGUCCUUUGGUCCCCACCUAUGUUGCUGCCAAAGGGCGCCCUUGAAUGUCACCCAAAGACACCUGAAAGCUGUCUGGGCAUCUUGCUAUGGUAAUGUUCACGAAGGUGCCUGGGCUGGCCCAGGUAAUCUCAGAGGGGGAGGGAAGCAGUAAUAGUGGCAGCCCCUGUGAGAUGGGAAUCUUUUCAUUUGACCUGGCAGAAUGGCUCAAUCUCAGUUUCUGUCAUAGCUCAUCUGCUGCAUGCUCUCAAGCCAUAAAUCUUGUUCAAUUUAUAGCAACUAUCAGCAAACCAUUUUUUCCCAUUUUCUUGUCUAAGAACUGAGACAAAGGCUUUUGUACCAAGGGGCGCUAGUGAGAUAUAUCUGUACAGUGAGGAGUUUGUCAAAAUCUACAGUUUAGUUUAACUGAAUGUAUUACCUCUCACUAAAGUAAAUAGAUUUCUAGAGUCAGACUGAGCUGAUGUAAAAUGGCUAAGCAACACGGAAAUCAACAGAGAUAUUAACACAAGCAUAUUGACACAAACUGAUUGGCACAAACUAAGAUUCUUGCCUUUAAACAUGAAGGCCAGAGAAUUAUUCUUCCGCUGUUAUGGAGGUUGCCUUCUUUAUUGAGAAAUAAAGGACACUGAACAAAAUAAUCCACUAUGAAGAGGAUUUCCAAAAGCACCUACACAGGUGUAGCAGGGCACUGGGGUGUGCUUACUCCUUUAAGGGACCUAGCAGCCAGUGGGGCUGUUUGCAGGUGGUGCAAGGGGCUAAUGAGAGACUUACCUGACUGGAAGAGGGCUCAGGCUGGAGCUAUCUAAGUCCACAGCCUGAGUCGGUCAGGCAGUCUCUCCUUGGCAGCCACGGGGUAAGGAGCUCUGGGCAGCAGAAAUUAUAUAGACAACUCUCCAGGCCUGGGAGCAGAGGCAAGCCCCCUGGGCAGAGAAGGACUGAGUUUUACAAACAAGAGGCCUUUAUUUUAUUUUGAGCCCACAGAGGGUCUUGGUGCCCAGGGAAGGGCUAAGCUGGACCAGAGAGUCUGGGAGCUUGGAGAAGGGGCAGCAUGUCAGACCAGGGGAGUCUGAAGCCCCAAGGGGGGCAGAGUACAUAAUUAAGCAACAUCACAAAGAGAGAACACCCGCAAGGCUUGGGGUGUGGUGUAGAGGAGGUACGGAGCCACACAAGGAGCCGUUAAGGCAACAGGUGCCUGGCAUGGGUACAGACAGGCUGAGAGGGCCUGCUAGCCUGGGGGUGCAGGACUGUGACUGAGGGGACCCAGGAGAGGCCCAGUGUUGAUGGACACAAGCUUAGGCUCACAGAGCAGCUGCCGUUUGUCUUCGUUAAAAGCAAGGUGUAGUGGGAAAGAUUCAAGUGAAGGGCUGCAGUUGAGCCUGAGCAGGACAGGGGCCACAUGGCCAUCAGGGGCAUCACAGCCAAUCCAAUGGCUGCAGACUUGGUCCAACAGGUGCCUAAUUGAUCAGGUGCAUUUUUAAAUCCACUGGGUACAUAAAUACCUUCAUAAGGCUGGCCCUGUAAGCCUGAGACCACUGGGACUCAAUGAUCUGCCUAACUUCAAAUAUUUCAUUUAAGCUGGUUGAAAAAUGUAUGAGAUAGAAUAGUUUCCUAGUGGAAAAAGCACUUAUUGUACACUUUUUCAGUUUAUUUUGUUAUACUUUUAUAUCAUAAAAAUUGUAAUUAAUCUGAUGUUAUUUAAAUGAAACAAUUAAGGCCUACACUUUCAAAAGUCACCAUGAAAAUAUAUGUGACCCAAAUGAUGAAAGGGGAAACUGGGAGACUGGUUUUGUGAUUCUCUGGUUUAUUGAGGCUUCUUAGCAAACUAGAUUUAAAAAAAUGCUUUCACAACAUAAAAUAUUCAGACUCUAGGCUUAUGUCCUCAGGUACAGACAAAGACCACUCACUACAGUGGAAAGAUUUUAUACCCAACAUACAUUUAACAGAGGCCCCUGCUCCCUUCUCCUGCUGGAGGGGCAGGCACCUCCUCCAUCUCCCCUGCUAUCAGCAUCCAGACAGCUUCCUGCCCGCACCUCCUCCCCACCCCCCACACAUACAUGGAGCCCCCCUGGACAGUCCCCAAGCCCUAGCCCUUCAACUCCUGCUCCCCAUAGACUUACCUGCAUCCAGCUGCUGGGGUUGCUCCCACUACCUUGCCUGGCUGUAUGUCAGCCAUGUGAAUGUAUAUGCGCAGACACACGUGAUGCCCUCUGUCUCCCAUCACCCUUCCCCCACUCCCACCAGCCCCAAGCAGCUCCUUGCUGAUGC